AACCUUAUGGACCUGCGGGCGUAUACCUGCGGAAGGAUCAUUACAGAGUUGCAAGACUCCCUAAACCAUUGUGAACCUACCUUCUACCGUUGCUUCGGCGGGCGGGCCCAGCGCCCCCCCGGCCCCCCGCGGGCGCCCGCCGGAGGAUACCCAAACUCUUGACAUUAGUGGCCUCUCUGAGUAUUCUUUACUGAAUAAGUCAAAACUUUUAGCAACGGAUCUCAGAUCGGAAGAGCACAC
rnacentral:misc_RNA from 1 species